rnacentral:tRNA from 1 species
GCCUUCGUGGUGUAACGGUAGCACACUCGGCGCGUAUUCGAGAGGUCCAGGUUCAAGUCCCGGCGAAGGCA